UACGUAGGGGGCAAGCGUUGUCCGGAAUUAUUGGGCGUAAAGAGCGUGUAGGCGGUCCGGUAAGUCGGCUGUGAAAGUCCAGGGCUCAACCCUGGGAUGCCGGUCGAUACUGCCGGACUAGAGUUCGGAAGAGGAGAGUGGAAUUCCUGGUGUAGCGGUGAAAUGCGCAGAUAUCAGGAAGAACACCCGUGGCGAAGGCGGCUCUCUGGGACGGUACUGACGCUGAGACGCGAAAGCGUGGGGAGCGAACAGG
rnacentral:rRNA from 1 species